rnacentral:rRNA from 1 species
GACGAACGCUGGCGGCGUGCUUAACACAUGCAAGUCGAACGGAAAGGCCCCUUUGGGUGUACUCGAGUGGCGAACGGGUGAGUAACACGUGAGUAACCUGCCCUUGACUUCGGGAUAACUUCAGGAAACUGGGGCUAAUACCGGAUAGGAAUCCUUGCUGCAUGGUGGGGGUUGGAAAGCUUCGGCGGUUUUGGAUGGACUCGCGGCUUAUCAGCUUGUUGGUGGGGUAGUGGCUUACCAAGGCUUUGACGGGUAGCCGGCCUGAGAGGGCGACCGGCCACAUUGGGACUGAGAUACGGCCCAGACUCCUACGGGAGGCAGCAGUGGGGAAUAUUGCACAAUGGGCGGAAGCCUGAUGCAGAAACGCGGCGUGCGGGAUGACGGCCUUCGGGUUGUAAACCGAUUUCAGCAGGGGCGAAGCUUGUGGUGACGGUACCUGCAGAAGAAGCACCGGCUAACUACGUG